rnacentral:rRNA from 1 species
GACGAACGCUGGCGGCGUGCUUAACACAUGCAGGUCGAACGGUGAAGCGCCUUCCUUUUUGGUGGGUGUGGAUGAGUGGCGAACGGGUGAGUAACACGUGAGUAACCUGCCCCCUUCUUCUGGAUAACCGCAUGAAAGUGUGGCUAAUACGGGAUAUUCUGGGUCUGUCGCAUGAUGGGUCUGGGAAAGAUAUUGUUUCGGUGGGGGAUGGGCUCGCGGCCUAUCAGCUUGUUGGUGGGGUGAUGGCCUACCAAGGCGGUGACGGGUAGCCGGCCUGAGAGGGUGGACGGUCACACUGGGACUGAGACACGGCCCAGACUCCUACGGGAGGCAGCAGUGGGGAAUAUUGCACAAUGGGCGCAAGCCUGAUGCAGCGACGCCGCGUGAGGGAUGGAGGCCUUCGGGUUGUGAACCUCUUUCGCCAGUGAAGCAGGCCUGCCUCGUUUGUGGGUGGGUUGACGGUAGCUGGAUAAGAAGCGCCGGCUAACUACGU